GGCGAGUGAAGCGGCAAAGCUCAAAUUUGAAAUCUGGCUCUUUCAGAGUCCGAGUUGUAAUUUGAAGAAGGUAUCUUUGGGUCUGGCUCUUGUCUAUGUUUCUUGGAACAGAACGUCACAGAGGGUGAGAAUCCCGUGCGAUGAGAUGAUCCAGGCCUAUGUAAAGUUCCUUCGAAGAGUCGAGUUGUUUGGGAAUGCAGCUCUAAGUGGGUGGUAAAUUCCAUCUAAAGCUAAAUAUUGGCGAGAGACCGAUAGCGAACAAGUACAGUGAUGGAAAGAUGAAAAGAACUUUGAAAAGAGAGUGAAAAAGUACGUGAAAUUGUUGAAAGGGAAGGGCUUGAGAUCAGACUUGGUAUUUUGUAUGUUACUUCUUCGGGGGUGGCCUCUACAGUUUAUCGGGCCAGCAUCAGUUUGGGCGGUAGGAGAAUUGCGUUGGAAUGUGGCACGGCUUCGGUUGUGUGUUAUAGCCUUCGUCGAUACUGCCAGCCUAGACUGAGGACUGCGGUUUAUACCUAGGAUGUUGGCAUAAUGAUCUUAAGUCGCCCGUCUUGAAA
rnacentral:rRNA from 1 species